CCAGUGACCUGACCCAGUUGCACUUUAGAGGUGGCUGCCUUUUAAUUAUUUUGGUGCUGUUUGUGAAGAACUGGAUAAAGACACACACAGCAUCUCUGGUGGUAGAGAAAUAUUGUGGAUUAAGGACAUGACAGUGGAAGCCCUCAUCCUUCAAGCUGAAGACCGCUCAGAGCUCCUCAUCACAAGACAGAAAUUUUUAAUGCUGUGGAACUAUCAAUAUAUCAGAAACUGCCAAUGGAGAUGGGCUGAGAAACCAAGAUCAGACAUAGCUGUUGCCUCUGUAGGCAGAUGACCAUGACUACCCAGAGAGCAAUAUAGAGCUGGAUUGUUCAAGUCCAGGGAAUUGCUGAUGAGAUCGAGCCCACCUGGAGCAAGUGAGAACCUGAUUGUGAGGGGCCUGAUGAUAAUCCUUGGACAAGCACUCUUCUCCUCAAGCCUGGCGUGAACUCAGAAAUCUGCUGCUGAGCUGGGACCGCUUUGCCUCGCCAUUAAGCGAAACUGGAGCAGAGUUGAGCCCUGUAUCGAAGCUCGCUUAUCCCCAAGGUGAUGCGCCUCAAUUCUGCGCGGAUCAUGCCCAGCACCUUCCUGAGAAAAGAUUUCUGUGAGACUUCAGCCUGCAGAACACUGUUCGUAUCUUCUGUAUGCAGAGAUUUUUGGGACUCAUUGGAGAGUUUUUGCCCUAAGAAAGAAAUGAUUUGAGACUUUCGCAAGGCAAAUAAUGAAACAUAAUCACUAUGGGAAUCGGUUUGUUGGAGCUGGAGGUAAGAAGGAAA